rfam:Drosophila simulans chromosome X, whole genome shotgun sequence.
UGCAGUGUCGUGGCAUUGGUGAGGACAUCUCCAAUGGAUUGGUUCUCAUCAUUGGAUUAGUUAUCAUCAAUGCCGGUGCACUGCA